AGUGAACGCUGGCGGUAGGCCUAACACAUGCAAGUCGAACGGCAGCACAGUAAGAGCUUGCUCUUACGGGUGGCGAGUGGCGGACGGGUGAGGAAUAAAUCGGAAUCUACUUUUUCGUGGGGGAUAACGGAGGGAAACUUACGCUAAUACCGCAUACGACCUACGGGUGAAAGCAGGGGAUCUUCGGACCUUGCGCGAUUGAAUGAGCCGAUGUCGGAUUAGCUAGUUGGCGGGGUAAAGGCCCACCAAGGCGACGAUCCGUAGCUGGUCUGAGAGGAUGAUCAGCCACACUGGAACUGAGACACGGUCCAGACUCCUACGGGAGGCAGCAGUGGGGAAUAUUGGACAAUGGGCGCAAGCCUGAUCCAGCCAUACCGCGUGGGUGAAGAAGGCCUUCGGGUUGUAAAGCCCUUUUGUUGGGAAAGAAAAGCAGCAGGUUAAUACCCCGCUGUUCUGACGGUACCCAAAGAAUAAGCACCGGCUAACUUCGUG
rnacentral:rRNA from 1 species